CGAAAGCAGGAGGGUGUCGUUAAAAUGGCGGCCGCGGCUGUGUUUGCCGAGCUGAAGUUCAGAGACGGAUUAAGAGAGAAAAUCAGCUUUAAAGUAGAAAAUAAUAUGACUUCUUUGAUCGAGGCAGUUCAAGAGCUGAACACGCACGUAUCAAGACUUCUCAGCGAUUUGGUUGAGCGGGAAAAAGACCGCGGAGACUGCGCAGAAGGUGAGGAAGAGGAGGAGGACAGUGAUGAUGAAGACGAGCAGCCAGAUAAUCUUCAAAACUCUGAAAUACAACCUCCAACAAAAAGAUCCAAAACCUGAAACACCUGGAAAUACCUGAGGACUCAAAUCACUGUUUGACCCGAAUGAACUGACGACGAUGAUGAUGACCAGUGAUCAGCCACAUGAUUCACUAGCAACCAAAUAAAGCAGCUACACGUGUGUCGUUCAGACUUAUGUUGAGACUGAAAAUAAAAUGUGCUUUUCUAAACGUCUGUAAUCAGUCUGCUUCUCAUACUCCAUCACCAGCUGAUCACUAAUCAGGUACAGGUGAGCUCAGAUGUCACACUGCCAGACUACAACCAAUCCAAUCAUUUCCACCACUUUAAAUAACUUUAAAACAGACGGCAGUCAGGUUUUUGUCACCUGAGUCUUCAAUAUCAGGCCAAAACAAGAAGAAGGUAGCAAAUAAAAGAGUAAAAGUGGUCUGAAUUUAUUACAUGAAUGUGAUAAUACAUUUUAAUCAGUGGUUUCUCACGUUACCGUGGAAACACGGGGCCUAACUUGGUUUGUUUUACCCCUACAAACCAGAUGUCAGUAAAUAUAGUUUGUGGCUUGUUGCCUGAAGGAGAGUGGAGUUUACUGAGCACCUGAGUUCAGGUGAACUAGAAGCUACCUUUAAACUCACACUGCUGCACUCCUUUAUAAAUGUUGUAUUUUACUUUAUGUGCCCGAUUUUACCUUUAUUAUUUUUAUGCCAUAAUUUGAUGCUUUAUUCUUAUUUUUAUUUCCAUUCUUAUUCUUUUACCUAGAUUUUGAUAUUUUAUUCUGUGGUUUAAUGCAUUGUCUUUAUUUUCAUUUCCAUCCUCACUGUCAUUAUUGAGUAAGUUUGAUUCUCGAUCCUAUUUUAUAUUCAUUUUUUACCUGUUUUUAUGUCCUUUCUGUCUUUUCUAUGGAAAACACUCACUUGGUGCUUGUGAUGUCUUUCUUGUGAAGCACUUUGAGCUGUAAUCCUGUAUGAAAGGGGAUAAACAAAUAAAGUGUAUUAUUAUUACCA